AUCGCUUCUCGGCCUUUUGGCUAAGAUCAAGUGUAGUAUCUGUUCUUAUCAGUUUAAAAAUCAAUAAGAACAUAUCCUUGGGUGAAGAUUAAAUAUAUAUAUAGAAAGAGAUUAACAGGGAGUAAGGCAAGAGCUACUGUUUUAAAUACUAUGGCCAGGAGAGGCCUUACUGGUAUGAUGGUAUUUGAG